rnacentral:rRNA from 1 species
UCGGGAAUUUUGGGCAAUGGGCGAAAGCCUGACCCAGCAACGCCGCGUGAAGGAUGAAGUCUUUCGGGAUGUAAACUUCGUAAGAAUAGGAAGAAUAAAUGACGGUACUAUUUGUAAGGUCCGGCUAACUACGUGCCAGCAGCCGCGGUAAUACGUAGGGACCAAGCGUUGUUCGGAUUUACUGGGCGUAAAGGGCGCGUAGGCGGCGUGACAAGUCAAUUGUGAAAUCUCCGGGCUUAACUCGGAACGGUCAAUUGAUACUGUUGUGCUAGAGUACAGAAGGGGCAAUCGGAAUUCUUGGUGUAGCGGUGAAAUGCGUAGAUAUCAAGAGGAACACCUGAGGUGAAGACGGGUUGCUGGGCUGAUACUGACGCUGAGGCGCGAA